UCACCUUUAAGCCAUGUCUGUGGUGUAACAGCCGCAGGUGUGGACGGUGUUGGGCGGUGCUCUACACACGUUGUGGGGCCUGUCGGCUCGGCUGCAUGCCUUUGGAUGCCCUUUAAUGAGGUGUCUACAGGCGGAUGGCACGUUUACUUUGAACAAAUUUGAGUGCUCAAAUCAGGCCGAUCUUGGUGAAAAGUUUUGCAUGGAAUAAUGGAAUAGGACUUCGGUUCUAUUUCGUUGGUUUUCGGAUCCGAAGUAAUGAUCAAAAGAGACAGGCGGGGACGUUUGUAUGGCUGCGCUAGAGGUGAAAUUCAUGGCCCGUAGCCAGACAAACUAAAGCGAAAGCAUUCGUCAACCAUGUUUUCAUUGGCCAUGAACGAAAGUCAGAGGCUCGAAGACGAUCAGAUACCGUCCUAGUUCUGACCAUAAACGAUGCCAACUGACGAUCCGCGGUGGUAGUAAUGUUACCUUCCCCACGCGCAGUCCCCGGGAAACCUUUAAGUGUUUGGGUUCCGGGGGAAGUAUGGUUGCAAAGCUGAAACUUAAAGGAAUUGACGGAAGGGCACCACCAGGAGUGGAGCCUGCGGCUUAAUUUGACUCAACACGGGAAAACUCACCCGGGCCGGACACUAUGAGGAUUGACAGAUUGAGAGCUCUUUCUUGAUUUGGUGGUUGGUGGUGCAUGGCCGUUCUUAGUUGGUGGAGCGAUUUGUCUGGUUAAUUCCGAUAACGAACGAGACUCCAGCCUGCUAAUUAGUGCGUUUGUCCACUGCACCUGCGAUGGUGGCGUUAGAUGACACCGCCUGUCACGCAGGGAUAGGCUCUACUCUCUCGCUAGCGGCGCUCCUCUUCUACUACUUCUUUCGCUUGCUCUUCCUUCUCUUCUUCCACUGCCGCCGCCGCCGCUGCCAGUGAUGGUGGUGGUGGUGGUGGUGAUGGUGAUGAUGAUGAUGGUGGUAGUAGUGAGUGGAUGAUUGCAGGGGUGAGGCAGCAGCAGCAGGUGUGGAGGGUGUGGCUUGACGUGCGUGGCUGGUUAGUCUGGCGUUGGCCUCCAGGUGUGGCGCGAAUGCCUACUUCUUAGAGGGACAAGCGGGAGAAGCCGCACGAAAUAGAGCAAUAACAGGUCUGUGAUGCCCUUAGAUGUCCGGGGCCGCACGCGCGCUACAAUGACGGUGUCAACGAGUCAGACCUUCUGGCCCGAAAGGGUUGGGCAAACUGGUCAAUCACCGUCGUGACAGGGAUCGGGGCUUGGAAUUGUUCCCCGUGAACGAGGAAUUCCUAGUAAGUGCAAGUCAUAAGCUUGCGCUGAUUACGUCCCUGCCCUUUGUACACACCGCCCGUCGCUACUACCGAUUGAAUGGUUUAGUAAGGUCCUUGGAUUGGCGUCAUUGUGGCGGUGGCUGAGAGAUCAGUUGCAGCCCGACAGGCGCUGAAAAGACGACCGAAC
rnacentral:rRNA from 1 species